rnacentral:rRNA from 1 species
GACAUAGGUUGCGAACGUUAUCCGGAAUUAUUGGGCGUAAAGGAUGCGUAGAUGGUUUGAUAAGUUAUCAGUGGCAAAUCGGGGCUCAACCUCGUGGAAGUUGGUAAUACUGUCAUACUUGAGUGCAGGAGAGGUUAACGGAACUCUAUAUGGAGCGGUAAAAUGUGACGAUAUAUAGAAGAACACCAAUUGGCGAAGGCAGUUAACUAUUCUGUUACUGACAUUGAGGCAUGAAAGCGUGGGGAGCAAAACGG